GGGAGGAAGGGGCCUCACUACUACAGAGAGGGAAGGUAAUGUGGUGAGUGAAGCGGGACCUUAUGCUUUCUAUCUUAGAGAUGAAAGAAGAAGCCAGGAGCCAAGCAAUACCGAGAGUUGCUUGAGAGCAGAACAGGAGCCAGCACAUACGAUAACCAGGGGCUGUUACAUAGGAAAUGCAAUCUGCACGGUUACAGAUCACCGCUUCCUGUGUUGCUUCACUGGAUUCCAAUUCUUAUCAUGCAUGGCUGCCUUUAAUAUAUGAGGGAAAUGUGCAGCAGUUAUUAUUGCAAACUGAGUCUUCAUAUAACCAUAAAAAUAGUAUUUCUUUGUAAUUGGCAUGCUUUUUUUCUGGUUGAAAAUGAUUCUGCUAAGUUAAAGUAAGGAUUUUGUUGAGGUUUUCGCUGAAACUUACAAACCCGUCAACCAUGCUGAAGAAAAUACCAAGUUGGAAAACAGGUUUGAGAACUUUUUAACAUACCUAUGUCUGAGUAAAAUUUUCCAAGCACUGUGAAGUACAGAAAUCUUAGACUAUGUUAAAUAAAAAGCUGACUCUAACAGUAGAAACUAAAGAAGAAAUAGGAAGAAGGAACUAGUGGAAUCAAAUAUGAUGCUCAUAACCUACUCUCUGUCUACAGUAGCCUCUACUGUGACACCCGAGGUUUGCAUGCCUGAAGAAAAAUCAAAAAGAAUUUCACACUACAUGGAAAGCAAUUCUGGCUAGCUUUAACUAAAUUCAUUAAAAUCAACCACUAAAGAUAGAAAAUUCCUAUUUUCCCAGUUUUGAAAAAUAUUUGUGUUAAAUGAUUAUAACUGUAGUGGUUAUGAUGGAUGCAUCUGUCUACCUGCAGAUUUGUUUAUACAUUUAGCUUACAAUCGACCUCCACCAGUUUUCACAGUUCACACACAAAAUAUCCAUGAUUUAAUAAAUUUAGUGGAAAA